GAUGAACGCUGGCGGCGUGCCUAAUACAUGCAAGUCGAGCGAACAGACGAGGAGCUUGCUCCUCUGACGUUAGCGGCGGACGGGUGAGUAACACGUGGAUAACCUACCUAUAAGACUGGGAUAACUUCGGGAAACCGGAGCUAAUACUGGAUAAUAUAUUGAACCGCAUGGUUCAAUAGUGAAAGACGGUUUUGCUGUCACUUAUAGAUGGAUCCGCGCCGCAUUAGCUAGUUGGUAAGGUAACGGCUUACCAAGGCAACGAUGCGUAGCCGACCUGAGAGGGUGAUCGGCCACACUGGAACUGAGACACGGUCCAGACUCCUACGGGAGGCAGCAGUAGGGAAUCUUCCGCAAUGGGCGAAAGCCUGACGGAGCAACGCCGCGUGAGUGAUGAAGGUCUUCGGAUCGUAAAACUCUGUUAUUAGGGAAGAACAAAUGUGUAAGUAACUAUGCACGUCUGGACGGUACCUAAUCAGAAAGCCACGGCUAACUACGU
rnacentral:rRNA from 1 species